rnacentral:rRNA from 1 species
CAGCAGCCGCGGGAAUACGGAGGGGGCUAGCGUUGUUCGGAAUUACUGGGCGUAAAGCGCACGUAGGCGGCUUGGUAAGUUAGAGGUGAAAGCCCGGAGCUCAACUCCGGAAUUGCCUUUAAGACUGCCGAGCUAGUAGGUGAGAGAGGUAAGUGGAAUUCCGAGUGUAGAGGUGAAAUUCGUAGAUAUUCGAAGGAACACCAGUGGCGAAGGCGGCUCACUGGUCCAUUACUGACGCUGAGGUGCGAAAGCGUGGGGAGCAAACAGGAUUAGAUACCCCGGUAGUCCCUGUCUCUUAUAC